rnacentral:lncRNA from 1 species
AUGAUUAGCACUUGCUGCCCACCCAAACCUCUGCUAUCAUUGGUUAAGCAAGCCGGGCGGAAAGUUUGCCUGGGGCUGCUUCCCAGUCUCCCGAGGAGAAAACCGAUCCUCGAAUGGCAAAGUCCACCCCACUCAAGCGAAGAGGAUCGGCUACAGCUUGUGAGGAUCGCUCAGGAGUGUGUCUCUAGCUGUUUUAUUAACCAAAUCAGAGUUCUGACAGGCUCAGGUAGGCUGGCAACGAGGGCAUAUCACUCCUGCUGAGACCACCGGAGACAUCAUGUGGCUACCAUGGUUGGCAUCACCAUCAGGUUUGCUGUUUAUUUGUUUUCAAAAACCCUUCCCUCUCAGCUUCUGGAGUAGGAGGAAACAAUUUAAGUGUUUCCUAGGGGUUAAAUACUCUACUAAGAACGGGGUAGGUACGAGAUAAUCAGGUUGAACACAGUCCCUGUCCCAUGUGGGGCUGGCUCUCAGUCUGAGGCAUUUAAUCCCUAUUUUACAGAGGAACGAAAUGGAGGCACAGAGAAGUCACGACUUGCUCAAGAUAGAACAGCAGACAAGUAGUGUGAGCCAAGGUGAGAAUCCAGGUCCUCUGAUUCCAUGUUCUCCUCAGCAGGAAAUGCUGCUUCCUCCAAAGACACCAAAGUAAGGGCAAGCUUGUUCCAAAAUCAGAAUUCUUGACUGUUAUUAUUAUUGUUAAUAAUGAUGAUAGUACUGGUAUUCGUUAAAGAGCCUCUAUGUGCCAGACAGUCUAAAAGCGCUGGGUGGAUACAGGCACAUCAGGUUGGACACAGUCCCUGUCUUAAUCUCCACUUUACAGAGGAUGUAACUGAGGCCCAGAGAAUUGAAGUGACUUAUUCCAAGGUCACACAGCAAAUAGAGCAGGGAUUAGAACCCAGGUCUUCUGACUCUCAGACCCGUGCUCUAUCCACUAGGCCAUGCGGCUUCUCUUUUUACAGGUAAUUAAUGUUGGUAUUUGUUAAGCACUUACUAUGUGCAGAGCACUCUUCUAAGCGCUGGGGUAGACACAAGGGAAUCAGGUUGUCCCACGUGGGGCUCACAGUCUUAAUCCCCACGUUAAGUGACUGGCCCAAAGUCAAACAGCAGGCAAGGGACAGAACUCAGGUCCUCCGGUUCCCGGGCCCGUACUCUUUUGACAAGGUCACAUUGUUUCUCACCUAAUUUCACCUCUCCCAUCCCCACGUGUAAGGAUUAAACCCAGAUGUGUAAGCAAGGGUAGAGAGGUCCUUCUAAACCAGAAGUAUUUGUUUGUUAAGCACUUACUAUGUGCAGAGCACUGUUCUAAGCGCUGGGGUAGACACAGGGGAAUCAGGUUGUCCCACGUGGGGCUCACAGUCUUAAUCCCCAUUUUACAGAUGAGGUAACUGAGGCACAGAAAAGUGAAGUGACUUGCCCACAGUCACACAGCUGGCAAGUGGCCGAGCGGGGAUUCGAACCCAUGACCUCUGACUCCAAAGCCCGUGCUCUUUCCACUGAACCACGCUGCUUCUCUGUCUCUGCAGUUAAUUGUCCUGACUGUUGCUUGGAAUAAUUGUAAAAACUGCAGAGAACGUGAGCCCCAUGUGGGAUAGGGAUUGUGUCCAACCGAUUUGCUUGUAUCCAGCCCAGCGCUUAGAAGAGUGCCUAGCACCUAGUAAACGCUUAAAUACCACAGUUAUUAUUUUUUGCCAUAGUCACUGUAAGAUCAUUGUGAACAGGGACUAUGUCUGUUAUAUUGUACUCUCCCAAGUGCUCAGUACAGUGCUCUGCACAGAAUAAGCACUCAAUCGAUACAACUGACUGUUGAAUUGGCUUGAUGACCACUAUUGCUGUAGAAGUUCGUUUCUGUGAACGGAAUUUUUCACGACUAUUGUGCCUUUCCCCACCUUCACCCUGUGAGCUCAGAGCAGGCAAGGGCCCUGUAUGUUUUCCCUUGUCAUUUCUCCAGCUCCCAGACCAGUGCAGUGCAAAAAUAGCUACAAGUAUUGUCGAGACCCUCACAGAAAGGUGUCUUUGAUCCUUAAAGAUUAAGCUUUAUAUAUUAAAUGCUCCGGGGCCCCACGAAGUGGGCACUCAAAGGCUAUUGCUACUGCAAAGCAGGUGGGGAGGUGCAAAACAGUCAGAUCAGACCCAAGUGGUGUUGGACUGGGAGUCAGAGGAUUUGGAUUCUAAUUCUGGCUCUGCCACCUGUCUGCCAUGUUAACUUCAGCAAACCGCUUAACUUUUGUCCCUCAGUUUCCUCGUCUUUCAUUCGGUCGGAUUUGAGCGCUUACUGUGUGCAAAGCCAUCUCUAAUAUGAGGAUUAACUACCUAUUCCCCCUCCUACUUAGACUGCGUCCAAUCUGAUGCUCUUUUAUCUAGUACAGCACAAGUGCUUAAAACAUUCUUAUUAUCAAUCAAUGGUAUUUAGUGAGUCCUUAAUGUAUGCACAGUACUUGUAUCGCACUUGGGAGAGUACAACAGAGGUGGGCAGAUAUGUUCUCUGCUCACAAGUGACUCACAAUCUAGUGGGGGAGACAGACUAUGGUAUAGAUAAAUUACGGAUAUGUGUAUUAAGUGCCGUGGGCCUGAGGGUGUAUCAAGUGCCUAGGUGACACAGAAGGGAAUGACUAAUCUUAGAAGGAAGGAGAAUAAGUCACUUAUCCCCAUUUGACGGAUGGUGGAACGGAGGCACGGGGUGAAGUGAUCCGCCCGAGGCCACACGGCAGGCAACGGCUACCCUGUGCCUGAGACGCGGCGUGGCCUGUUGGAAAGAGCGGGGGCCUUGGAAUCAGAGGACCUGGGUUCUAAUCCCACCUCUGCCAAUUGCUGGCGGUAUGACCUUGGGCAGAUCUAUGUGCCUCAGUUUCUUCAACUGUACAAGGAGGGUUCGAUAUCUGUUCUCUCUCCUAUAAUCGGUGAGCCCCUUGUGGGACGGGGACUGUGUCUCACCUAACUGAUCUGUACCUACCCCAGCACUUAGAACAGUGGUUGACACAUACUAAGUGCUUAACAAGUACCUAAAAAUAAGAAUAAACACCAACAACUCAGGUCUCUGUUCCUCCAGGCCCUGGCUCUUUCCACCAGGCUUCAGUUAGACAUGAUCUGCAAUAAAAGUCCAGGAUCGGGUUGGUGUGGGCCUAGAUAUUUUGGACGUUAAAAAAAAAAAAAAAGGGGCGGACUUUAUGUCCUCCGAAAGUGGUCAAUUUUUGCUUUGUACAUAAUAGCACUUUGCAAUUAACCUACAGAAUAAUAACUGUAGUAUUUAAGUGAUUAUUAUAUUCCAGGCACUGUACUAAGUGCUGGGGUAACAAGAUAAUCAGGUCCCACAUGGGGCUCACAGACUAAGGAGGAGGGAGAACAGAAUAUUAUCUUCAAUAAAGAGUAAAGAAAAUGUGAACAACCAACCAGUAAUUAUGACUCUGAGUGGAAGAGGUUAGUCUGUUGCUAUUGCCCAGAAUGAGAAAUACAUUGAAGACACAGAUUAAAACAUCUGCAUUUUUUAAACAAUUCAUCUGAAAACAAUCUACCCUUAUAUAAGAGAAAUGAUUAUAAUCUUCUCCAUGUUAUUAAAAAUAAUCAUACUUUAUUUGAAUUAUAAUCUUUAACAGAAUAAGAUACAUAAAUACUCUUUGCUCUCAAUUUAAUAUUUUAAAUAGGGUAAUACUAAAGUUUAUAAGUUGAUCCUCAGCUAUUAAAAUAACACCCCACUUUUUUUGCCUUAGUGAUAUCCUGUUUAAAUGCUCUCUGUUCUAAGUAUAUAUUUACCUAGCCAUCUUAGUACACUGUGAACUGAAAUUACACGCUAGUUAAACUAUAUGAAUAUCGACUGUCUUCACAGAUACAACUAUGAAAAAAAUCUGGAGAGCUAUUUGGGUCUCCUCAAAGUGUGGGAAAUAUUUUUUUACUAAAAUUAAUACGAUGAAUAGGAAUUUUCUAGUUUCUAAUGUAAAUAAAAUAUGCCUGGGCAGCAUAUUAAUACCCCGGUUAACACUUCUAGGCUUGAAUGGAUGGGGCUUGACUGAUUCUCAGGAUAGCUGGUUCUUCUUAUAUUAUUGAAAUUUAAUAGAAUACAUUUAUCAUCAUCUGUGUGUAGCCCACACACGAGAUGCUGAUAACUAGACUGAAAAUUCUUUGAGGGUAGAAUCACGUCCACUACCUUGACUGUACUCUGCCAAGUGUUUAAUUCAGGGCUCUGCCACAGUAGGCAACCCGUAAAUAAUUCAAUGGUGUUUAUGGAGCACAUACUGUGCGCAGAGCACCGAACAAAGCACUUGGGAGAGUACAAUUCAAGAGUUGAUAGAUAUGUUCUCUCCCCUGCCGGAGCUUAGAAUUUAUUGAUGAAAUGCAUCUUUAAUUAGGCAGGACACAAGAAUGGAAGUUAAGGAUUCAUAAAUUAUAACCCAUUGUGCCUUUUCAGCCAUUUACAUAACAUCCCUACUACUAAGAGGCUUAAAGUAGUGGAAAAAGAGCCUCCUUACUGGUACUCCAGGGAAUAUGAUAAUUCCCAUGCUCUCUUCCUUGGCAUGGAGGAAGCAGGGAAUUGAACGGUUGUGCCACCAUUUCCUUGUUUUAUUUUUGUUGAAGUGGUCACACUGAGGCUCCACUGUUGAUCCUAUUUUUCUUUUGGGCCCAAGAAUGCAUGCUUUCCUCCCUUACCUUCUCUAGGCAAUGGCUGAUUUUU